rnacentral:rRNA from 1 species
AUGGACGCUGGCGGCGUGCCUAAUACAUGCAAGUCGAGCGAACGGACGAGAAGCUUGCUUCUCUGAUGUUAGCGGCGGACGGGUGAGUAACACGUGGAUAACCUACCUAUAAGACUGGGAUAACUUCGGGAAACCGGAGCUAAUACCGGAUAAUAUUUUGAACCGCAUGGUUCAAAUGUGAAAGACGGUCUUGCUGUCACUUAUAGAUGGAUCCGCGCUGCAUUAGCUAGUUGGUAAGGUAACGGCUUACCAAGGCAACGAUGCAUAGCCGACCUGAGAGGGUGAUCGGCCACACUGGAACUGAGACACGGUCCAGACUCCUACGGGAGGCAGCAGUAGGGAAUCUUCCGCAAUGGGCGAAAGCCUGACGGAGCAACGCCGCGUGAGUGAUGAAGGUCUUCGGAUCGUAAAACUCUGUUAUUAGGGAAGAACAUAUGUGUAAGUAACUGUGCACAUCUUGACGGUACCUAAUCAGAAAGCCACGGCUAACUACGUG